rnacentral:lncRNA from 1 species
CUAUGACAUACCCCUAGUGUACCCUCGCCAAUCACAGCCACUAUACAACAAAGGAAAGAAAGAAAAAAGAAAGAAAGAUAACAAAGGGGGAUCAAGAUAAGUUAAAAGGCACACUAGUUAAAAUAAAGCUAAUAAAGGAGCUAGGGACAAAGACAACAAUCUAAAAUAGAUAGGGAGCAAAAAAAACCAAUAAUAUAACGCAAAUUUUGAUACACAAUAGUCAAUAGCAGGAACUAAUACUACCACACUUAAUGGAUAUGCUAGUAAAUCAAGUAACAAUAA